rnacentral:rRNA from 1 species
AAUAUAUGACAAUGGGGUGAACCCUGAUCCAGCCAUGCCGCGUGUGUGAAGAAGGUCUGCGGAAUGUAAAGCACUUUAAGUUGGGAGGAAGAGUUGUAGGCUAAUACCUUGCAAUUUUGACGUUACCAACAGAAUAAGAACCGGCUAACUUCGUGCUAGCAGCCGCGGUAAUACGACGGUGUCAAUCGUUAAUCGGAAUUACUGGGCGUAAAGCGCGCGUAGGUGGUUCGUUAAAUUGGAAGUGAACGCCCCGGGCUUAACCUGGGAAUUGCUUUCAAAACUGACGAGCUAGAGUACGGUAGAGGGUAGUGGAAUUUCCUGUGUAGCGGUGAAAUGCGUAGAUAUAGGAAGGAACAUCAGUGGCGAAGGCGACUACCUGGACUGAUACUGACACUGAGGUGCGAAAGCGUGGGGAGCAAACA